rnacentral:rRNA from 1 species
AUUGAACGCUGGCGGCAUGCUUUACACAUGCAAGUCGGACGGCAGCACAGAGAAGCUCGCUUCUUGGGUGGCGAGUGGCGAACGGGUGAGUAAUAUAUCGGAACGUACCGAGUAAUGGGGGAUAACUAAUCGAAAGAUUAGCUAAUACCGCAUAUUCUCUGAGGAGGAAAGCAGGGGACCUUCGGGCCUUGCGUUAUUCGAGCGGCCGAUAUCUGAUUAGCUAGUUGGUGGGGUAAAGGCCUACCAAGGUGACGAUCAGUAGCGGGUCUGAGAGGAUGAUCCGCCACACUGGGACUGAGACACGGCCCAGACUCCUACGGGAGGCAGCAGUGGGGAAUUUUGGACAAUGGGCGCAAGCCUGAUCCAGCCAUGCCGCGUGUCUGAAGAAGGCCUUCGGGUUGUAAAGGACUUUUGUCAGGGAAGAAAAGGCUGUUGCUAAUAUCGACAGCUGAUGACGGUACCUGAAGAAUAAGCACCGGCUAACUACGUGCCAGCAGCCGCGGUAAUACGUAGGGUGCGAGCGUUAAUCGGAAUUACUGGGCGUAAAGCGAGCGCAGACGGUUACUUAAGCAGGAUGUGAAAUCCCCGGGCUUAACCUGGGAACUGCGUUCUGAACUGGGUGACUAGAGUGUGUCAGAGGGAGGUAGAAUUCCACGUGUAGCAGUGAAAUGCGUAGAGAUGUGGAGGAAUACCGAUGGCGAAGGCAGCCUCCUGGGAUAACACUGACGUUCAUGCUCGAAAGCGUGGGUAGCAAACAGG